GACAGAGGAUGCAAACGUUGCUCGGAAUUACUGGGCGUAAAGCGCGUGUAGGCGGUUUCGCGAGUCGGGUGUGAAAGCCCGGGGCUCAACCCCGGAAGUGCACUCGAUACUACGGAGCUGGAGUACUGAAGAGGAGAGCGGAAUUCCCGGUGUAGAGGUGAAAUUCGUAGAUAUCGGGAGGAACACCAGUGGCGAAGGCGGCUCUCUGGGCAGAUACUGACGCUGAGACGCGAAAGCGUGGGGAGCGAACAGG
rnacentral:rRNA from 1 species